rnacentral:rRNA from 1 species
GACGAACGCUGGCGGCGUGCUUAAUACAUGCAAGUCAACUGAACUUGAGGUAGCAAUAUCACAAGAGAGGUGGCGCACGGGUGAGUAACACGUAGGUAAUCUGCCUUUAGGUCUGACAUAAUUCCGCGAAAGCGGGACUAAUAUCAGAUGAUGCAGCGGCUCGACAUCGAGACAGUUGUUAAACCUUCGGGGCCUAAAGAUGAGCCUGCGUCUGAUUAGGUAGUUGGCGGAGUAAAAGCCCACCAAGCCUGCGAUCAGUAGCUGGUCUGAGAGGAUGAUCAGCCACACUGGAACUGAGACACGGUCCAGACUCCUACGGGAGGCAGCAGUAAGGAAUAUUGCUCAAUGGCCGAAAGGCUGAAGCAGCAACGCCGCGUGGAGGAUGAAAUACUUUUGUAUGUAAACUCCUGUAAG